rnacentral:rRNA from 1 species
AUUGAACGCUGGCGGCAUGCUUUACACAUGCAAGUCGAACGGCAGCACGGGCUUCGUCCUGGUGGCGAGUUGCGGACGGGUGAGUAAUAUACCGGAACGUACCCAGACGUGGGGGCUAACGUAACUAAAGGUACGCUAAUAUCGCAUACGAUCUAAUGUUGAAAGCAGGGGACCGCAAGUCCUUGUGCUUCUGGAGCUGCCGAUGUUACAUUAGCUAGCUGGUAAGGUAAAGGCGUACCAAGGCGACGAUCAAUAGCUGAUCUGAGAGGGCGACCGGCCACACUGGAACUGAGACACGGUCCAGACUCCUACGGGAGGCAGCAGUAGGGAAUCUUCCGCAAGGGGCUAAAGCCUGACGGAGCAACGCCGCGUGAGUGAUGACGGUCUUCGGAUCGUAAAACUCUGUUAUUAGGGAAGAACAUAUGUGUAAGUAACUGUGCACAUCUUGACGGUACCUAAUCAGAAAGCCACGGCUAACUACGUG